ensembl:snoRNA U3 Small nucleolar RNA U3
AAGACUAUACUUUUAGGGACCAUUUCUAUAGUUCAUUCCUAGAGAAGUUUCUCUGAACAUGGAGAGCAUGAGAAAACUAAAUAAGGAAAGGAAAGACCAUUACCAGCCACUGCAAAAGCACACUGAAGU